rnacentral:lncRNA from 1 species
AGAGUUGGGUCUGUUUAUAUAGCAAAGAGAGGCACACAAUAAGGAAAAGGAAUAAAUUAGGAGCAAUAUUAUUUUCCUUAAAUAACGGAGAGCUAAAAUAAUAUUAUUUUACCAAAUAUAAACAAGUAGGAAAGUAUUCAACAUUUUCAAUAAGGUAAGAAAUAAUUGUUGACACUAAUCAAUUAAUCAGUCAAAAUUCUUUUGCCAACAAUUAAACAAGAAAGAAAAUCUAUCUUCCAUAAUUAAGCAGAAUUAGUUAAUGGCAGAUUA